rfam:Prevotella sp. oral taxon 299 str. F0039, complete genome.
UUAGAAAGUAAUUAAGGGCGCAUGGCGGAUGCCUUGGCUCAUGGAGGCGAUGAAGGACGUGAUAAGCUGCGAUAAGCGACGGGUAGGUGCAAAUAACCUUUGAUCCGUUGAUUUCCGAAUGGGACAACCCAAUUACCAUAAGGUAAUUAUCAUAUAUAUGAUAUAUGAGGCGAACCGAGGGAACUGAAACAUCUUAGUACCUCGAGGAAGAGAAAAUAAACUAAUGAUUCCCUUAGUAGUGGCGAGCGAACGGGGAUUAGCCCAAACCAAUGUUGUAUUCUGCAAUGUUGGGGUUGUAGGACUACGUUGUUGUACUUGAAUUGCGAGAAGAAUAUACUGGAAAGUGUAGCCAUAGCAGGUGAAAGCCCUUUAUUCGAAGCAUGCCAAGACAUAGUAGUAUCCUGAGUAGCGCGGGACACGUGUAAUCCUGUGUGAAUCUGCCGGGCCCAUCCGGUAAGGCUAAAUACUCCCAUGAGACCGAUAGCGUACCAGUACCGUGAGGGAAAGGUGAAAAGAACUUCGAUAAGAAGAGUGAAAUAGAUCCUGAACCCAUGCGCCUACAAGCGGUCGGAGCAUUUUAUGAUGUGACGGCGUGCCUUUUGCAUAAUGAACCUACGAGUUACCGUCACUGGCAAGGUUAAUCCUCUUAAGUGGAGCAACCGCAGUGAAAGCGAGCCUUAACAGGGCGUUGAGUCAGUGGUGGUAGACGCGAAACCAAGUGAUCUACACUUGUCCAGGAUGAAGUUCCGGUAACACGGAAUGGAGGUCCGAACCAAUAAGCGUUGAAAAGCUUCUGGAUGAGGUGAGUGUAGGAGUGAAAGGCCAAUCAAACUUGGAGAUAGCUCGUACUCCCCGAAAGGCAUUUAGGUGCCGCGUACGAUGAUUAACGUAAGAGGUAGAGCGACCGAUAGGUCAAGAGGGCUUCACCGCCUAUCGAGACCUGACGAACUCCGAAUGCUUACGCUUUGCAGUCGUGCAGUAAGGGGGCGGGUGCUAAGGUCCGUCCCCGAGAGGAGAAGAAUCCAGACCGUCGUUUAAGGUCCCCAAAUUCUGUCUAAGUUAGUCUAACGAAGUCUGGUCCCCAUGACAGCCAGGAUGUUGGCUUGGAAGCAGCCAUUCAUUUAAAGAGUGCGUAACAGCUCACUGGUCGAGGGUCCGGGCAUGGAUAAUAAUCGGGUAUAAGGCAGAUACCGAAGGCGCGGGAUAGUAUUUAAAAAAGUAUCGGUAGGGGAGCAUUCCAUUGACGUUGAAUGAUAUAGGACAACUAUAUCUGGAGUUUAUGGAAAAGCAAAUGUAGGUAUAAGUAACGAUAAGGAGGGUAAGAUUCCCUCCCGCCGCAAGACCAAGGUUUCCCGGGCAAUGUCAAUCACCCCGGGGUUAGUCGGGUCCUAAGUCUCAGCCGAAUGGCGAUGGCGAUGGUAGAAACGGUUAAUAUUCCGUUACUGCUUUAAUGAGUGAUGGGCAGACGAAGAAGUGACACCACCGCGAGGCGACGGAAGUCCUCGUUAAAGAGUGUAGGAGUUGAUGAUUGCAGGUAAAUCCACAAUCAGAUCCGAACUUGAUAGUAUGGUUUUCUCCUCGGAGUAAACCAAUAGUGUGGGUAAUCCUGCUUCCAAGAAAAUGCUCUAAACAUAUUGUUAAAGCACCCGUACCGUAAACGGACACACGUAGUCGGGUAGAAUAUACUAAGGCGUUGAGAGAUUCAUGGUUAAGGAACUAGGCAAAUUGACCCCGUAACUUCGGGAUAAGGGGUCCUCUUACUGUAAUGGUAUUGAGGCGCAGAGAAUCGGUCCAGGCAACUGUUUAACAAAAACACAGGGCUGUGCUAACUCGAAAGAUGAUGUAUACAGUCUGACACCUGCCCGGUGCUGGAAGGUUAAGAGGAGAGCUUAUUCUUCGGAAGAAGGUUUGAAUUGAAGCCCCAGUAAACGGCGGCCGUAACUAUAACGGUCCUAAGGUAGCGAAAUUCCUUGUCGGGUAAGUUCCGACCUGCACGAAUGGUGUAAUGAUCUGGACACUGUCUCAACCAUGAUCUCAGUGAAAUUGUAGUAUCGGUGAAGAUGCCGAUUACCCGCGAUGGGACGAAAAGACCCCGUGAACCUUUACUACAGCUUAGCAUUGACCUUGGUCAUCCGAUGUGUAGGAUAGGCCGGAGGCUUUGAAGGGGGUGCGCCAGCACUCUUGGAGCCAUCCUUGAAAUACGGCCCUUUGGCUGUCUGAGGUCUAACUCGUGAUUAACGAGGACAUUGUUUGGUGGGUAGUUUGACUGGGGUGGUCGCCUCCAAAAGCGUAACGGAGGCUUCCAAAGGUACCCUCAGGUCGAUUGGUAACCGACCUAUUAGAGUGCAAUGGCAUAAGGGUGCUUGACUGAGAGGCAGACAUGCCGAGCAGGUAGGAAACUAGGGCAUAGUGAUCCGGCGGAUGUGUAUGGAAACUCCGUCGCUCAAAGGAUAAAAGGUACUCCGGGGAUAACAGGCUGAUCCCCCCCAAGAGCUCAUAUCGACGGGGUGGUUUGGCACCUCGAUGUCGGCUCGUCACAUCCUGGGGCUGGAGAAGGUCCCAAGGGUUGGGCUGUUCGCCCAUUAAAGUGGCACGCGAGCUGGGUUCAGAACGUCGUGAGACAGUUCGGUCUCUAUCUAUCGCGGGCGUUGGAGUUUUGCGUGGAGCCGUCACUAGUACGAGAGGACCGUGAUGGACAGACCUCCGGUUUACCAGUUGUUCCGCCAGGGGCACCGCUGGGUAUCCGAGUCUGGUUUGGAUAAGCGCUGAAAGCAUCUAAGUGCGAAGCCAUCCGCAAGAUUAGAACUCCUUUGAGGGUCGUUGUAGACGACGACGUUGAUAGGGUGUAGGUGUAAAGACAGUGAUGUCAAAGCCGAGCACUACUAAUUGCCCAAAGCUUUCAGACA